UGUUUGUGAAUACAAAAUAUAGCAUUAACAUUAUAAAAAGAAAAUGGCCGACACCUAUCCAGUGCCGAAAGGUCAAAGAAGCUGGUGACCUGAUGACAAGGGAAUCAAAGACCAAAGCCCUGAUGAAUGGCGAUCGUAACUAUAAUGGUCCUAAGGCAGCGAAUUCUUUGUCGGGUAAGUUCCGACUUACAUAAAAGACAUAACGA
rnacentral:ncRNA from 1 species